AUAACAGAUUUAUUAUUUGCGAUGCAUCUCCUUCAAUGUAUCGUAUAAUCUCUCCGAGGAACUCUCAAAAAAAAUUUCAGCCAAAACAAAUUUGCCGAGGCAUAGGAGAAUACAGUGGAGAAAAUGGUGAAAGUGUCAACCUACUUCGCGAUGUCACUUGGAGCCUUCUUAUUCUGGGAAUCCAUGGAUAAGCUUCACGUUUGGAUCGCUCUACAUCAAGACGAAAAGAGAGAGAGACAGGAGAAGGAAGCGGAGAUCAAGAGAGUCCGGGAGGAGCUCUUGAAACAAGCCAAACAUAGGGACUCUCUCCUGUGAUCGCGUUGUGUUUUGAUGCGGGUGGUGUUUUCUCUAAAUUCCUCUCGUUGUUAUUUUUACCUGAAUUGUCUAGUGCCGUAUGGAUAAAAAGCUUAACAAUCAACUUAUCUGUUUCAAGCUGAUGAGUUUGUCCGUUACGAAUUUUAUUUUUACCUGCUUUAUGAACCAGCCCAAUGCACCUGUUGGAAUGUUUAGUGAAAUUGGUUUUAAUAAGACUAUUACAUCUUCUAUGAGUUUAUUUGAUGUAAUAGAAGCAGUAAUUGAAAUUAAGAGAAACUGCAUGUUUUGCUUGAAUA